CAUUCAGUUGACAUAAGAAAUUGAGCAGAAAACACAGAAAAAGUUCAAAUUACAAUUGUAAGACAUUUCUCCAGGUGACUGCAGUGUUCUUUAAAUGAAAAAAUAAUUUUUUUGAUACUUGGUUCGCUUGAAAUUUUAUCAAAGAUAUUAAAAAAAGGAAAACGUAUUUAAAUUUAAUUCGGUUUACAUAAGGAAAGGUUAAAAUAAUGGUUGGAUCAAGAGUUUAUGUUGGAGGAUUACCAUAUGGAGUUCGUGAGCGAGAUUUAGAGAGGUUUUUCAAAGGUUAUGGGAGGACAGUAGAUAUUCUCAUCAAAAAUGGCUAUGGCUUUGUGGAAUUUGAAGAUUAUCGUGAUGCUGAUGACGCUGUUUAUGAGCUUAAUGGAAAACAAUUAUUGGGUGAAAGAGUUAUUGUUGAACCAGCAAGGGGUACAGUGAGAGGUAGUCAUAGAGAUAGAUACGAUAGAUAUGAAAAUAGACGUGGUAGUGGUCGAUAUAAUGACAAAAAUAACAAAUCAAAUUCCAGAUACGGUCCACCCCUACGUACAGAGUAUCGUUUAAUCGUUGGAAACUUAUCAAGUCGUGUAAGCUGGCAGAAAAUAUGGGCUCGCUGAAAAUACGACUGAAUGAUGUGUUGUGCAUUAAUCUUCCUUCUAUUUUUGACUAUGGCUUGGUAUCCGAGACAUGCAAGUUUGUUCAUAUAUUUCAUGUUAGCGGGCGCGAUUAGAUGUGAGGAACUUUUGUUCAUACAAAAAAGUGUGUGUGCCAAAAACUAACAGUGCUCUCCAUUCAUUUAAAAAAAAUAAAUUCAAUACUUUAAACAUAUUAAUCUUGGGGCAAAUUAUGUGAUUAAAUUUUUAUAUUCUAAAAUAUGAUUUUCGGAUCGAUCAUUAAAAGGAUGAUAAUAAUGAAUGAUGGCGACGACGAUGACGUUGAAACAUCUUACCAAUGUAACCUAUAUAAACUAAGAAAAUUGGAAUAAAUUGCGUGUUAUCAGUAUAAACCGCAACGUUUCGGGCAUAAAACUUAAAAUUAAUAUCAACUUGAUGAAAUAACUGUCAUUUAUAGAAAGCUUGCACAAAAAGUAAUAUGUUUGUGAUCUAAGAUGUGGUGCUGCGGCUUAAUUAAUAAUGAAAAAUUUGCUCUGUUUUAUAAUUUUAAACCGAUAAUUUUAUUAGUAAUGCUUUUGGUGGUUUUUCUACGUAUUGUGUGCCUUUUUAUUAAAAAAAUCUGGAUAUAAGGAGUUAAUUGGCGACGAGAGCUUAACAUAAUAAUCUUCUUUUGGCAUUAUGUAACUUUUUUGCUAAAAAAGAAUGUACGUUUUUCAUCACACCCCUUGUUAAAAUAUGAUACGCGUUUUGGUUACAUAUUUUGAAUAGUAUAUUGAGAUCAGUCAACUUUACUUAUUUGUAUUUCAAAAAAGAAAACUGGAACAUGUAGGAACGAUUUCUAGAUGGUGUCAUAAAGAUGAUAAAUUAUCCCCUACUAAAAAAUGUUUAAAAUAGAAACAUUCUCCAUAAUUUAUUUCUUACUGAUUGUACUAUGAAAUAGGACUAGAAAGAAUAACCAGUUUCUAAUCUUGGCCAACAUUUUCAAAGUUGAAAAUCCUUGGCGUUGGGUUACCUAGUCAAGCAAACAAAAUGGGGAGCAAGAACGUGCUUCAAAGGUUUUUUGAUAAAAAUUCUGAGCAGUGUCUCAUUUUAGCUAAUAUAUGUAUGUGGGUCAAAAAAAUGUUAGUGUGAACCAAAUAAAAAACAGUUAGCAGUGCCAACACUGAGACGAUUUUUUGAGCUUAAUUAACGGGUUUGCAUACAUUUUGAGUUUUUUAAAUUUACAAUGUAAGAAAUGAUAUUAAAAAAUAAUUUUGUCUUGUUUUUAGUUUAUAAUUUUAAAAUAAUUUUUUUAUAUUUCAUAAUUAAGAAAAACUAUAAUAAAUAAAGUUCAAUAGCUUUUGACAAAUACUGAACAGUUAAGUCUCUGCUCGACCUGGCCCUUUUCUGUAUUAAACAUCAUUUAGGGCAGUGAAGACUUCACCAUUUAAUUAUUUUAUAUAAUGACGUUGACUAUCUUCAAUAAAAUCCGCUGUCUCAUCACGUUUACAUAAUGCAACUUCUGGAUAAUAGAGCAUGUUCUCGGAAACUGCAGACUUAGCAUUUGUAUUUGUCAAAGGAUUUGCUUUUAAAUAUUUCUGUUACUAAAAAUUAAUAGUUUUUCUUGAACUUUGAGUACUAAAAUCUACUUUGCCGCUUUUUAUAUUUCAAUUUUAUUUUAAAGGAUUUAAAAGACUUUAUGCGGCAAGCCGGAGAAGUAACUUAUGCAGACGCACAUAAACAGAGAAGAAAUGAAGGGGUUGUUGAAUUUGCUUCAGAAUCCGAUAUGCGGACAGCCGUUGAAAAAUUAGACGAUACUGAGUUGAACGGGCGG